CUCCACCCUUUGUCUACCUCACCUCUGUUGCUUCGGCGGCGACGCGUCGGCUCACGCCCCCGCGCCCCGCCGGAGGACCAUCAAACUCCAGUCAGUGAACGUCGCAGUCUGAAAACAAGUUUAAUAAACUAAAACUUUCAACAACGGAUCUCUUGGUUCUGGCAUCGAUGAAGAACGCAGCGAAAUGCGAUAAGUAAUGUGAAUUGCAGAAUUCAGUGAAUCAUCGAAUCUUUGAACGCACAUUGCGCCCUUUGGUAUUCCGAAGGGCAUGCCUGUUCGAGCGUCAUUACAACCCUCAAGCUCUGCUUGGUAUUGGGCACCGUCCGCCUCCGCGGACGCGCCUCGAAGACCUCGGCGGCGGCGUCAAGCCCUCAAGCGUAGUAGUAAAAUUCUCGCUUUGGAGUGCUGGGCGUCGCCCGCCGGACGAACCUUCUGAACUUUUCUCAAGGUUGACCUCGGAUCAGGUAGGAAUACCCGCUGAACUUAAGCAUAUCAAU
rnacentral:rRNA from 1 species